AACGAACGCUGGCGGCAUGCCUAACACAUGCAAGCCGAACGAGACCUUCGGGUCUAGUGGCGCACGGGUGCGUAACGCGUGGGAACCUGCCCUUAGGUUCGGAAUAACUCCCCGAAAGGGGUGCUAAUACCGGAUAAUGUCUUCGGACCAAAGAUUUAUCGCCUUUGGAUGGGCCCGCGUUGGAUUAGCUAGUUGGUAGGGUAAAAGCCUACCAAGGCGACGAUCCAUAGCUGGUCUGAGGGGAUGAUCAGCCACACUGGGACUGAGACACGGCCCAGACUCCUACGGGAGGCAGCAGUGGGGAAUAUUGGACAAUGGGCGAAAGCCUGAUCCAGCAAUGCCGCGUGAGUGAUGAAGGCCUUAGGGUUGUAAAGCUCUUUUACCCGGGAUGAUAAUGACAGUACCGGGAGAAUAAGCUCCGGCUAACUCCGUG
rnacentral:rRNA from 1 species